AAAUUGUUCCGAGGAAAAAUGGAAGAAAAGUUCUCGGCCAUUCAAAGAUUCACUAUUAAGCAAUAAGGAGAAGAGAAACAAAUGAAGAAUUAUACAAGAAUAUGAAAAAGGAAGAAUAUAUGUCAAGCAAAUGAAAA